GCGGGAGAGCGAAUCAGUCGAGAGAGCUAGUUUGACAGCAGGGACUGGCUGGGGUGAAGGUUCAUUACUCAUUAAUGACAACCCUAUUCUAAACAAGAGAAUCUGUCUGGACUUGUAAUGAGAGCAGCAGCCCUAUUCGGAAGACAGAAACUCUUCCAAUUAGGGUCUCUCUCCUGUCUCUCCCUGCCCCUCCUCUCAGCAUCCCAGCUUCCCGCCACAAACAUAACAAACCAAAGGUUUAAAGGUCUCGGUGAGCCUAACGUUGAGCCAUUCUACCAAGUCUUGCUGAAGGCCUCCAUGUUAUCUCAGUACUCCAGAUACAACAAUACUCUUUUAGCAUUGUAGUAUCUUAAGACUAUGUACAGUACAACUUCUGUCACUGAACGAUACAACUGUUUACAUGAAAUCCGUUGGCUGUGCUCUCACUGUCUUACAAUAGACUGCCCGUGACAGCAACAUUCCACCACAGAGGUCAAAGAUCUGUCCCUUGGCCUUCCCAGAAGCCUCAGGCCUCUGCCCUUUCCUACUGAAAGACUUCCAUUUUGAGAGGUCUGCGAGCAACAAUGGAACACUUGUGAGUCUGUAAUGUUUUUCAGUGUGACUUUGUACAACAUAUAAACACAAAGGUCAAUGGACGUGCACACACGCAUAUCCAAAAAGACCCGAUCAACAGAGGCAACUACAUGCACUCUUUGUUUACCUGAUUGCUUUGUACCAACCUGAGUGAAGGAGAAAAGACAUGAUCAUCUGUCUGAGGGUCAAUAAGAUCCCUUCACAUUAAUCUUACACAAUUUAAUUUCUUAAUCCUCCUAAUUUUAUU